rnacentral:misc_RNA from 1 species
GAUGAAGAACGUAGCGAAAUGCGAUAAGUAGUGUGAAUUGCAGAAUUCAGUGAAUCAUCGAAUCUUUGAACGCACAUUGCGCCCCAUGGUAUUCCGUGGGGCAUGCCUGUUCGAGCGUCAUUUACCCCCUCAAGCUCCGCUUGGUGUUGGGCGUCUGUCCCGCUUCGCGCGCGGACUCGCCCCAAAGGUAUUGGCAGCGGUCGUGCCAGCUUCUCGCGCAGCACAUUGCGCUUCUCGAGGCACCGGUGGGCCCGCGUCCAUCAAGCUCACCCCCCCAGUUUGACCUCUGAUCAGGUAGGGAUACCCGCUGAACUUAAGCAUAUCAAUAAGCGGAGGA